rnacentral:lncRNA from 1 species
UCUGCUUGCGUGUUUCUGCGCUCGCCUGCUCGUAAAUAGUUCGAUCGUGCGAUUUACUGGUUCUGCUGUUGCUGCUGCUGCCGCUGCUACCGAACUAGGGUGGCGUUAGAAUGAAGACGUAGCAGGCUUAAUAAGGUAACGGGAUAGAAUGGGACAAGCCGAGUUCCAGCAUCGGCAGCAUGAGAAACAACAGCGCGUUUCAUGUACAGAAUAACAUGGCCUGGGCCGUAAGGAGGCGUUCGAAGCCCCGCGUUUACCCAAGUGGGCGCCCACAGCCUCGAAUUGCUGAACGUGCCCGGAAUAUUAUGAACUUGCUAGCUGACGGCCACUCGCGUCGCUAUCGGGAACGACUACUCGUGAAGCGGGAGCACACAAGUGGAUUUCUGGGCCAUAUCCGCUGUCCUUUAGCCUCAUCUAGUGCCCGCGUCGUGAUACUACUCUAUGUUCGCGCUGCAGAGCGAGUCCUCCAGCUUGAGAUAGGGUAAGCAGGGGUUCCCUGUGUCCCGCAGUCACAGCACCGCUAUGGACAGCAGCACGCCAAAACCGCUGUCGGAACUCUUCUCCCGCAAGGGAGGCCGACUUUUCAAAAGAAAUUGCUGCCAGCAGCGGCAGAACCACCCCAAUCUGUUAAGAACAGCGCUGAACAUUGCCUUCGUCUGCCGCUUUUGGAUACUGAGCGCCCAGAGGACACUAGUUGUACUAGAAAGCUUGGCUCUAUACUGAUGUAGGUCCAAUUACCGCUCCCGUCCCUUUGUCCCUCUGAUUUGCCAGCUUUUUCAAGGUUCCGUCUGUCGACGCGACUCAAUAGGGAAAGACGUUGCCUGCCGUUGAUGAUAUUACAGCAACUGCAUCCUGUUCUUUCUGGGUCUUCUUCUGAACGGUUUCGCGGGUUCCCCACGAUACGACAUUGAGGUUGAUGAGCGAGUACAAGAUAAG